rnacentral:rRNA from 1 species
CGUCUCAGUUCGGAUUGUAGUCUGCAACUCGACUACAUGAAGCUGGAAUCGCUAGUAAUCGCGAAUCAGAAUGUCGCGGUGAAUACGUUCCCGGGUCUUGUACACACCGCCCGUCACACCAUGGGAGUCAGUAACGCCCGAAGUCAGUGACCCAACCAUAACCGGGAGGGGAGCUGCCGAAGGUGGGACCGAUAACUGGGGUGAAGUCGUAACAAGGUACC